UUCUCAGCUGACAAAAAGCACGUUGUAAAAAUACUAAAACAAGUGAUGGGCAAGUAAUUUAUAUCAGAAACAUUUUCUUUACUUGCGACUCACACAUAUAAGUGUUUGCAGCAGUAAAUAACAACGCACUCGCUCUAUGAACUGAGCUGUCUUUUCGCCUUCAGAACAUUGAAAGGUCGCCAUCAUUGAAUUUCCGUUGUGUACAUAUGUGCUCCACGCUAUUGGCCCGACGGCGCACGUUGCCACGACAACAUAAAGCUUACGCCUGCGCCGUGUCAAGUUCUUGCACCGUGCAACUUCUACGCAUAUAUCGGCGCACAUCCCGUCACAGCUCGCAGUCACUGACAGUGUCAAAUUUUUAUUUUUACAUCUGUUAACUUACAUUGUUUUUGUAUAGGUAGUUUAUGUUUUUAAGUUACUUAUUUAAGUGUGGAUGCAAUCUUCAACCCAACCUGGCGACAGCACUUCGUCUAACCACACAUGCAGCAAAUCAAACACACAUAAGAACACGGGACUAUUUAAUCGUCGAAA